AACGAACGCUGGCGGCAGGCUUAACACAUGCAAGUCGAACGCCCCGCAAGGGGAGUGGCAGACGGGUGAGUAACACGUGGGAACGUGCCCUAAGGUUUGGAAUAUUCCCGGGAAACUGGGAGCAAUACCAAAUGUGUCCGUAAGGAGAAAGAUUUAUCGCCUUAGGAUCGGCCCGGGUCGGAUUAGGUAGUUGGUGGGGUAAAAGCCUACCAAGCCGACGAUCUGUAGCUGGUCUGAGAGGACGACCAGACACACUGGGACUGAGACACGGCCCAGAAUCCUACGGGAGGCAGCAGUGGGGAAUCUUGGACAAUGGGCGCAAGCCUGAUCCAGCCAUGCCGCGUGGAUGAUGAAGGCCCUAGGGUUGUAAAAUCCUUUCGUUGGGGACGAUAAUGACGGUACCCAAAGAAGAAGCUCCGGCUAACUUCGUGCCAGCAGCCGCCGUAAAAC
rnacentral:rRNA from 1 species